AAUACGAUGCUGUCUUUUAUAUUUCUCGUCAAUUUUCUCAUCAUUAAUGCGACUUUUUGCCUGCAGCAAAAUCAUGAAGAUACGUACAAGUUCUUCAAAGCCAGCACAAACCUUCCUGGGCCGACAAUGUCGUUUAACAUACCAAAAGGUUUCGGUGUUUUCCAGUUUCAAUUUCAAACGUCUAUUGCUCGCGCUUUGUUGCUUUAUCGGGACGAUUUUGGCGAAAGAGAUUUUUUGAGUCUUUUCAUAAGCAACGGUCUUAUUGUAUUUUCCUUCUGUGGAAGAAACGUUAACAAUAAGAUAAUCUGCGAGAUUCUCCACGGAUGAAAGAUACAACGAUUCUCGAUAUCAUACAGUGAAAACAGUGUACAAGACAUUUCUUCUACAAUUGUUCAUCGACGAUCAAUUAAAGAUGGAAAACAACGUGACCCUGAAGCUUAACAGCAAUCUUCAGUUAGGAGGAUUUCCACCCAGACGAUACUCUGAUUCUAAUUCCAUAACAGAUCAUGAAUCUUUCAAGAUUUUCGCGACACUCAAAGAAAGGAGGGGAUAUUUCAUUGGAUGCAUCAGAAACAUUAAAUUUGGUUUCAACCAAAGUCGAUUGCACUCUGUUCAAGAUAUUCCCAGUUUGAGACAUCACGUUACCAAGGGAAACUGUAAUUUCAGUGCGCGAGGACUGGAUAUGAGGAAGUUUCUUGUACCAAAGAUGUCGACGAAUGUAAUCUGGAAGAAGCGGUCUGUCCUUCCCAGGCUACUUGUAUAAACACGGUCGGCUCAUAUGUUUGCAAAUAUGCUGUAAAAGAUCCAAUUGAAUGUGGUUUCAACCAUGUGAGAAAUGAUGCCUGUCAACGUUUUCCAUGUUAUCCUGGCCGUGAAUGCUGGAGAAGAUCAAAUGGAAGUUUUCAAUGUGAAAAAUGUCCCCGCUUCUUUUCUGGGGACGGAGUUGAAUGUGUUUUGAAUGAAAGUCAAGAAAUUUGGACGAAAAAGUCGAAAUCAGUUUGGAAACUACGAAAUGGCUGAAAGAAAUAAGCAACGAAUCGUCAAUAAAUAACAAAAUGUUAAAUGAUCGAUUAAAAAAGAAGUUGUACCAAUUGUUUGGAAGAACGCCAGAGUUUGUCGAGGUCUUUUUCUUGGAUUCAG